rnacentral:lncRNA from 1 species
GGAAGCACUUAUUCUGGGAAGCAGCAACCACCUUCCUCAGGGGGCAGUCAAGUGAGCUCUGCUGGGAAACACUCCAGUCCCCAACUCCUGCUGCUGUUUAGCAUUUUGUGUGCCUUCGUACUCUCUGCUGUUACAUCAAAAUGGUCUAUGUGAACAUCAGAAGAUGUGCUCAGCAUCCUAGACAUGGAUUAUAUGCAGUAAUAUUAGAUUAAUUACUUAACGUGAGAGGGAAAAAAAAAAAAAAAAACAACACCAUAAAGUCAAAUUGUCAGAUGCUACUUGGGCUAUCAUGUUCCAUGUCUGGUUACUAUGUCAUGUCUUUCAUUAGUCUCUUUGGGUUUAGUCGUUAGUAGAUAUCAUUUAGUUUUGUCAGUGUUCUAGGCAUCAUCUUAAGAGAGCAUAUUGUUCCCUACCUGUGGGAGUUUUUAAAAUUAUGUCCAGUGGAAAAUGUGAUGAACGCCUACCUGAAAACUGAUUGGUGCGAGAAACAAUUGCUUAGAAAAUACUUGGUUAGUAACGAACACAGAAUGGCAUACAAAUUGUUUUAUUUGCAAACUGAGCACUGUCACUGCCCUUCACUACAUACAAUAAAGAUGAGCUCUAACUUCUCAUGAGCAGUCCUCCAGGGAAUGGCAAAAAGGAUGCUAAAAUAAUAUCAUACUAUCAGCUUUAGUCGAAUGUAAACAAAUUCACAUUCAACAUGGAGGUUGCAAAGCAAAAAAAAGCCUAAAUACGAUCUUCACCAUUUGGCUGACAGUUGUUUCUUUGGAGUCUGCAGUAACGUUUUUGUUUUUUUUAAUUUAAGCGUCCGAUCUGAACUGGCAUUGCACUUCUUUAAUAAACUGAUGGUGUAUUUCACA